GGCAGAAGGCACACGAGCUUGUGCCACAAGAAACUGGGGCUCCCAGAUAGCCUCCCACAAACCAGCGACUGUGAGGAUAUAGGCAGCUGAGAUCAUUGACAGUGACUAGGACAGAUGAGAUUUGAAAGUCAUCCAAAGAUCUGUGAAGAAGGCUGAAGAAAAGACAGGAUCAGCAGUGGAUGUGAGCGUUGAAAGUCUUCACGGUGACCCGAAGCGAAUGGACUGGAGGAGCUGAAAGAUGCACCCAGGUUAGACACUGCAUCCGAGCCAGACAAAAAGCAUCAGAAACAGAGACUUGGAGGAAGGACUCCACAUGCCUGCUUUCAAACACUUCUGAAAUGUGACUGCUCAUUACCCAGUCGAGUGUAUCACCUUCUGCUCCAACCAAUGCCGAUCAAGUCAUAGGUGCCUCCUCCCUGUCCCUUUGCACUGCUGAAUUGGGAACUUUUUUCCAAACCACACAUGAGUACCAUGUACCGUGGCUUUUCCUCCCACAGUCCUAGUACCUCCCACCCUACAAGAAUCAGCUUAGCCUUUGUUUCCUUAAGAAAUACUACAUCAAUCAACUCAGUCCACAUGAGGACCAUACAACUGAAGAAUUACUGAAUUCCAGAAAUGGACGGAACCUUCAGGAACACUUAGCAACAAUCCUGU